rnacentral:lncRNA from 1 species
GGUUAAAUAGAUAAAAUCUUCAAUUGUUGCUUUAAGCAGGAAAUGAGGGGACUUCCUGAUGCUGCCUGGCCAACAAUCAGCAACAUGAAGUUGUUCGCAACAACUGUUCAACUUGAAAGUAAGAGAGUGAGCAAAAAAGAGAAAAAACAGACUCAAUUGCUAAUAAGAACAUAUAUUGAAAGCUAAGGAUAAUAAUUUCUACAAAUUCUAAAACAUAAGGAAUUAUCUGGCCAUUGGAAACUAAUCUAAAUUGGAGAUGUAUCUCUAUUGCUACAAAAACUCUUCAUGCCAGGCUGCAUUGCACUCAAAAGAGAUUCUAUUUUAAUAUCUGAUUCUAAGUAUCAUAGAUAAUGUACAAAGAUACUGAUUUCGCCAAGUUUGUUAUCUUCAUUCCAUAGUGACCUGAAUGCUUUCCCCUGUGGAUUACAAAAUUUGAAAAUUUUAUUGUGGUAGAAUAAUUCUUCAAAUGUUUGCUCGCCUCCAUUUAAUAUUGAAUGUUUCUCCAAUUUGUAUUCUUUUCAUAUCUAAAUUUUAUGCUGCUUAAUGUUUGCCUACUUGAAAUGUAUGCAUUGUUAGUGCCUGUGGAAUGUAGUGUUUACAAUUUGGUACACUAGAGCUGCUUUCAUUUUGUUUUUGGUUUACUAAAUGUGUUUUUGUAUAAUGAUAAAACCAUAUUUCUUUUACAAUGGUUUUAAACAAAUGCAUACAUUUAAUAUAGGAUGACCAAGACAGGAAAAUCCGGAAACUAUCACGUCAGCUGGAAAAUCCAGACACCAUUUAAUAUAUGUUGUCUUCAUUCCAUAGUGACCUGAAUGCUUUCCCCUGUGGAUUACAAAAUUUGAAAAUUUUAUUGUGGUAGAAUAAUUCUUCAAAUGUUUGCUCG